UACGGAGGGGGGCGAGCGUUUAUUCGGAAUUAUUGGGCGUAAAGGGCGCGUAGGCGGCUGUACAAGUCAAAGGUGAAAUCCCUCGGCUCAACUGAGGAACUGCCUUUGAAACUGUACGCUUGAGGCCGGGAGGGGGUAGCGGAAUUCCCAAUGUAGCGGUGAAAUGCGUAGAUAUUGGGAGGAACACCAGUGGCGAAGGCGGCUACCUGGACCGGUUCUGACGCUGAGGCGCGAGAGCGUGGGGAGCAAACCGG
rnacentral:rRNA from 1 species